AAGGACUGUGCUCCCAAUCCGCUUACGCUCAAGGAAGAACUGCCUGGAAGCCCUCCCUGGUACCAUACCCCAGCCGAUGAGUAUGUACCCCCAGAAGUACUUCCGCUCAGAGAAGAAGGAGACGGCAAGCAGGGUGUACAGGAAGGCCCAGAACCAGCCUGCUGUCAGGAUCAGAACAAAAGAGGAGGACUGCAUAUGUAUGGACCCACUCCAGAUGGCAUGGGGACGGGGGGAGUAGGAAAAGUGGCAUGAGACCAGGCCCACAGAGUAUGGCUGUGCAAGUUGUUCACUCUACAAGGGCACCUGGCCGGGGUCUUACCUUGAAUGGGGGAGAAGAGCUUGAAGAUGAGGGGACAGGCCAAGACAACUACCUGGCCCCGAGGGGUGGCUGGCCAGCAGAUGAGGAAAUGGAGGCACAGACUGAUUAGAAAACCAGCUCAAGGUCAUGUUGCUGCUGGGCCUCCUCCAGGCACUGCUUGUGCUGCACCUCGAUCAUCUGCACAUAGUCACACUCCUCCUGCAGCCUGGCCGCCUGGCCGCCCUGAGGACAAAGACAGGGAGGGCCCAUCAGCCUCGUCCAUAGACUCAGGAGCACCAGGCCCAGUCUCUGGACUGCACCUGCCCUCUCCCUGGAAGAGAUCCAGGUUCCAGAUGGAACCCCAAUACCAACCCAAGACUGAAACCU
rnacentral:antisense_RNA from 1 species